rnacentral:rRNA from 1 species
CCCAGACUCCUACGGGAGGCAGCAGUGGGGAAUAUUGCACAAUGGGGGAAACCCUGAUGCAGCGAUGCCGCGUGAGCGAUGAAGUAUUUCGGUAUGUAAAGCUCUAUCAGCAGGGAAGAAGAUGACGGUACCUGACUAAGAAGCCCCGGCUAACUACGUGCCAGCAGCCGCGGUAAUACGUAGGGGGCAAGCGUUAUCCGGAUUUACUGGGUGUAAAGGGAGCGUAGACGGCGAUGCAAGCCAGAUGUGAAAGCCCGGGGCUCAACCCCGGGACUGCUUUGGAAACUGUGCAUCUUGAGUACGGGAGGGGCAGGCGGAAUUCCUGGUGUAGCGGUGAAAUGCGUAGAUAUCAGGAGGAACACCGGCGGCGAAGGCGGCCUGCUGGACCGAAACUGACGUUGAGGCUCGAAAGCGUGGGGAGCAAACAGGAUUAGAUACCCUUGUA